CCUACGGGAGGCAGCAGUGAGGAAUAUUGGUCAAUGGGCGCGAGCCUGAACCAGCCAAGUCGCGGGAGGGAAGACGGUCCUAUGGAUUGUAAACCUCUUUGGUCGGGGAGCAAAAGACGCCACGCGCGGUGUUCCGAGAGUACACGAAGAAAAAGCAUCGGCUAACUCCAUGCCAGCAGCCGGGGUAAUAGGGAGGAUGCGAGCGUUAUCCGGAUUUAUGGGGUUUAAAGGGUGCGCAGGCGGAAGAUCAAGUCAGCGGUAAAAUUGAGAGUCUCAACCUCUUCGAGCCUUUGAAACUGGUUGUCUUGAGUGAGUGAGACGUAUGCGGAAUGCGUGGUGUAGCGGUGAAAUGCAUAGAUAUCACGCAGAAAUCCGCUUGCGAAGGCAGCAUACCGGCGCUCAACUGACGCUCAUGCACGAAAGUGUGGGUAUCGAACAGGAUGAGAUACCCGAGUAGUC
rnacentral:rRNA from 1 species